AGUCGAGGGGCAGCAUGAAGUUUGCUUGCAACUUUUGAUGGCGACCGUCGCACGGGUGAGUAACACGUAUCCAACCUGCCUCAUACUCGGGGAUAGCCUUUCGAAAGAAAGAUUAAUACCCGAUGUCAUAGUCCUACCGCAUGAUGGGAUUAUUAAAGAAUUUCGGUAUGGGAUGGGGAUGCGUUCCAUUAGUUAGUUGGCGGGGUGACGGCCCACCAAGACAACGAUGGAUAGGGGUUCUGAGAGGAAGGUCCCCCACAUUGGAACUGAGACACGGUCCAAACUCCUACGGGAGGCAGCAGUGAGGAAUAUUGGUCAAUGGACGAGAGUCUGAACCAGCCAAGUAGCGUGAAGGAUGACUGCCCUAUGGGUUGUAAACUUCUUUUAUAUGGGAAUAAAACGUUCCACGUGUGGAAUUUUGUAUGUACCAUAUGAAUAAGGAUCGGCUAACUCCGUGCCAGCAGCCGCGGUAAUACGGAGGAUCCGAGCGUUAUCCGGAUUUAUUGGGUUUAAAGGGAGCGUAGGUGGAUUGUUAAGUCAGUUGUGAAAGUUUGCGGCUCAACCGUAAAAUUGCAGUUGAAACUGGCAGUCUUGAGUACAGUAGAGGUGGGCGGAAUUCGUGGUGUAGCGGUGAAAUGCUUAGAUAUCACGAAGAACUCCGAUUGCGAAGGCAGCUCACUGGACUGCAACUGACACUGAGGCUCGAAAGUGUGGGUAUCAAACAGGAUUAGAUACCCUGGUAGUCCACACAGUAAACGAUGAAUACUCGCUGUUUGCGAUAUACAGCAAGCGGCCAAGCGAAAGCAUUAAGUA
rnacentral:rRNA from 1 species